rnacentral:rRNA from 1 species
CCCCAGACUCCUACGGGAGGCAGCAGUGAGGAAUAUUGGUCAAUGGUCGGGAGACUGAACCAGCCAAGCCGCGUGAGGGAUGAAGGUACAGAGUAUCGUAAACCUCUUUUGUCAGGGAACAAAGGCGGGGACGUGUCCCCGGAUGAGUGUGCCUGAAGAAAAAGCAUCGGCUAACUCCGUGCCAGCAGCCGCGGUAAUACAUAGGGAGCAAGCGUUAUCCGGAUUUAUUGGGUGUAAAGGGUGCGUAGACGGGAAAUUAAGUUAGUUGUGAAAUCCCUCGGCUUAACUGAGGAACUGCAACUAAAACUGAUUUUCUUGAGUACUGGAGAGGAAAGUGGAAUUCCUAGUGUAGCGGUGAAAUGCGUAGAUAUUAGGAGGAACACCAGUGGCGAAGGCGACUUUCUGGACAGUAACUGACGUUGAGGCACGAAAGUGUGGGGAGCAAACAGGAUUAGAUACCCCGGUAU